UACGGGGGGGGGCAAGCGUUGUUCGGAAUUACUGGGCGUAAAGGGCGCGUAGGCGGCCUUCUAAGUCAGACGUGAAAUCCCUCGGCUCAACCGAGGAACUGCGUCUGAUACUGGAAGGCUUGAAUCCGGGAGAGGGAUGUGGAAUUCCAGGUGUAGCGGUGAAAUGCGUAGAUAUCUGGAGGAACACCGGUGGCGAAGGCGGCAUCCUGGACCGGUAUUGACGCUGAGGCGCGAAAGCUAGGGGAGCAAAGCGGGG
rnacentral:rRNA from 1 species